rnacentral:rRNA from 1 species
UACGGAGGGGGCUAGCGUUGUUCGGAAUUACUGGGCGUAAAGCGCACGUAGGCGGCUUUGCAAGUUAGAGGUGAAAGCCCAGGGCUUAACCCUGGAAUUGCCUUUAAAACUGCAUCGCUAGAAUUGUGGAGAGGUGAGUGGAAUUCCGAGUGUAGAGGUGAAAUUCGUAGAUAUCGGGAGGAACACCAGUGGCGAAGGCGGCGAUCUGGGAAGAUACUGACGCUGAGGUGCGAAAGCGUGGGGAGCAAACAGG